ensembl:rRNA 5S_rRNA 5S ribosomal RNA
GCCAGCAGCCAUAUCACCCUGCAACUCACAACUGGCAGCCUAUUGAAGCUAAGCAGGUGUGAGCCUGGUCAGUACUUGGAUAGGAGACCUCCUGGGAAAAACUAAGGUUGCUGCUGGAA